UCCCAGGUGGCACAGUGGUAAAGUACCUGCCUGCCAGUGAAGACACAAGAGACAUAGGUUCAAUCCCUGUUUUGGGAA
rnacentral:tRNA from 1 species